rnacentral:misc_RNA from 1 species
GAUGAAGAACGUAGCGAAAUGCGAUACUUGGUGUGAAUUGCAGAAUCCCGUGAACCAUCGAGUCUUUGAACGCAAGUUGCGCCUCAAGCCAUUAGGUUGAGGGCACGUCUGCCUGGGCGUCACAUAUCGUUGCCUGAUGCCAGUUUCCUCGUGAUGGGUGACUGUGCAGGGCGAAUGAUGGCUUCCCGUGAGCAUUGUUGCCUCAUGGUUGGUUGAAAAUUGAGUCCUUGGUAGGGAGCGCCGUGAUAGUUGGUGGUUGAGUGACGAACGAGACCCAAUCAUGUGAGACCCCUACCGAAUUUGGCCUUCAUGACCCACAUGCGUCUUUGCAACGCUCAUGACGAGACCUCAGGUCAGGCGGGGCUACCCGCUGAGUUUAAGCAUAUCAAUAAGCGGAGGA